CACAUAUUUUCUCCCUCUCCCAAAAAAAAACCCUAGCCGCCUCUACCAUGUUGUCUUUCUCUCCUCGUCACCUAGCUAAAAAUGGCAACGAAUCAGAUGUGCGUAGCUUUUAGCAGGUUGGCUCAACCAAUUUGAGGAAAGCAUUAAAUGCUUACCUAGUUUCCACCGUGAUUCAACCACAAACACGUUGUGUAUUUGGGGGAUCAAGGAGGAAACAAGGUCUUCAAGUUUGAAUCUCGAUCCAGUCUGCAUUCAAAAGAGGUACAUACAGACAAGUAGAAGACAUUGCUAGAAGAUGUUCCAGCGGGAUUGGUGUGCUCCAGUUCUUUCCGGAGUAUUGCCGAGUCAGGGUAUACAUGUUUUGAUUUUCUUGAUUGAUGUUAGAGACUUUGCAGACAGGGUCAUGUAUAUGGAAAGUCAGUCUUGUAAGCGGCUCUGUAAGCCGACGUACCAUUAUGCAUUAUGUUACAAGUCCUAUAUGAUUACAGAUUUUACUUGAAUUGAUAGCCACGAAAAGAAUGGUUUUGAUCAGUUUUCAUUAUGCAUUUCAUUUGUAACUUAAGAGUCCAGUAAGGUUAGGAACAUGACGAGAGCUAAAGGUGUUCGCUCGGCUCCGUGUAUGGGGUCGGGUGCCCAUCACACCCUAGCGAGAUUAGGGUGUGAAAAAGUGUAUCAGAGCAGGUCGUCCUAGGGGUUGUCUGCAAAGUCGUGUCCAGUAGAGUCCUGUUUAUGGGUGUGAAGCCGGCUACAUUUAUAAACAGGAGGCUGCAGGGCAUCUUGGGAUUGUUGACCUUCUUUCUGUCUU